rnacentral:miRNA from 1 species
UCCACUGUUGCGUUUUUCAUACGUACGUAUACGCACGUAAAACUUUAAAUCCGUUUAAAUGUUACUUAUGAAAUAACCAAAUAAAUAAAGCAACAGAAUUUAGUGUUCCGCAAGUUUUAGUAUGCAUUUGUUAACUUAUUUGUAAAAUAUUUAAAAAAUAGAAGGAUUCAAAGUUUCACGUGCGUGUACGUGCGUACGAAAAACGCAACAGUGGA